GUACACACCGCCCGUCACACCAUGGGAGUUGUUUGGACCCAAAGUCGCCUGCCAACUCGCAAGAGAAGUAAGCGCCUAAGGUCUGGACAGUGACUGGGGUGAAGUCGUAACAAGGUAGCAGUAGGUGAACCUGCAGAAGGAUCA
rnacentral:rRNA from 1 species